UGUUUGUUCUGCAGGGUUUCAGUCAGAACGUUCCACCUCUCGUGGCUGCUAAUGGCAGGUGUGCAUGCCUCUGCAUUAAUCAGGGUGCUGUGAACCUGCCGUUUAAUCGCAGAGGAAGCCGAGCAGCAUUUUCUGCUUUUUAGAUAGUGACAGCUGGAGAUAUGGACAGGAAAGGCAGCAGAGAGAUAGAAAGGGGAUGACAUGCAGCAAAGGGCUGGAAUCCAACCGGGCGCUGUAUUAAGGGCACACUCUACCAGCAGGUUUAUGGCGCAGCGACACACCUUACAUGGACCUGGCACGGUUUGUCUGCUCAAAAUAAGAGAUGGCGGGUCUGCCCCCCGUACACCCUGACAAAGUGGCUGUUGCUUCGAUCCCUGAGUCAAUAUUGACCACCAGCCAGCAGGAGAGUGAAGCAGCAGCAGCAGCAGCAGCAGCAGCAGCAGCAGCAGCUGGGAGGAGG